UAACCUGCCCAAGAGAUCGGGAUAACACCUGGAAACAGAUGCUAAUACCGGAUAACAACAGAUGAUGCCUAUCAACUGUUUAAAAGAUGGUUCUGCUAUCACUAUUGGAUGGACCUGCGGUGCAUUAGCUAGUUGGUAGGGUAACGGCCUACCAAGGCGAUGAUGCAUAGCCGAGUUGAGAGACUGAUCGGCCACAUUGGGACUGAGACACGGCCCAAACUCCUACGGGAGGCAGCAGGU
rnacentral:rRNA from 1 species